rnacentral:rRNA from 1 species
AGAGUUUGAUCCUGGCUCAGAUUGAACGCUGGCGGCAGGCCUAACACAUGCAAGUCGAGCGGAUGAAGGGAGCUUGCUCUUGGAUUCAGCGGCGGACGGGUGAGUAAUGCCUAGGAAUCUGCCUGGUAGUGGGGGACAACGUUUCGAAAGGAACGCUAAUACCGCAUACGUCCUACGGGAGAAAGCAGGGGACCUUCGGGCCUUGCGCUAUCAGAUGAGCCUAGGUCGGAUUAGCUAGUUGGUGAGGUAAUGGCUCACCAAGGCGACGAUCCCUAGCUGGUCUGAGAGGAUGACCAGCCACACUGGAACUGAGACACGGUCCAGACUCCUACGGGAGGCAGCAGUGGGGAAUAUUGCACAAUGGGCGCAAGCCUGAUGCAGCCAUGCCGCGUGUAUGAAGAAGGCCUUCGGGUUGUAAAGUACUUUCAGCGGGGAGGAAGGCGGUGCGGUUAAUAACCGCGCCGAUUGACGUUACCCGCAGAAGAAGCACCGGCUAACUCCGUGCCAGCAGCCGCGGUAAU